UUCCAUAAAAUCACAACAUCAUAUCAGCCAGUCUCUUGUAUAUAAAAACAGUUUAUAAAUAAAUAUAAAUAGUUAAGUGUGACGUCAUCAUGCGCCGCUUCCGGGUUCAAUCGAUUUCAAAUGCCACAGGAAAACACGCUAAUAUACACUCGUAUCAUGAUGCAAAAUUAUUUAAACCCAUGAUCCUUAUUUUUAUCUCCAAUAAUAAAAACCAAGAUGACCAGACCUGGACUAUAUGGAUUUUUCCGUAGUGUGCAGACUGCAGUGUACACUGUAAGUUUAUCCAAUUUUCGUUUAAAUGUGUAAUAUUAAUCAAUAGUGCUCAUAAACGGUUGUUUAAAUAGGCUAGUAUCGUAGUUGUAUUUCCCUCUCCCCCUACUGAACGCAUGAGGAGCAAAAGGGGCGCAAAACUGCCAGGGGCGUAAAACUGUCAGGGGCGUAGAUCUACCGGCUCCAGGUCUGCAGCCUCCCCAUAUAGAGUUAAACAGCUGAACAUUUCACCAUCUGCAAAGGUAAGUAAUCUUCUUGUGAUUUCUUACCAUAUUUAAUAUUUUUGGUUUAGUUCAUUAAUUUGAAACACUUUUUUUAAACACUUAACAACACGCAGUUGACGGUAAUUUACCUCACUGUUGUGAACAAGAUAGUUAGAGAGCUUUGAGGUAGAAACUCGUUUAAGACUGAAGAAAACGCAACUUUCUGUGCAUAUAAUCAUAUUUAAUUAUUUUCUUCCCCUUUUUAGAACAUUUCACCAUCAACAUAUUAACAUAAACGGUUCUCUUUUUCUUGUUUGACUGCGUUUGGUACAGGUCACAACAACGACGGCAGAUGUAGAGACCACGCUUUCCCUUGCUUCCACUCCACGGCUGAUCAUGCUUGAGGAUCCAGAUCUACAAAACAAAAAAUGGAUGCUGCCGAUUGAAGGCUAAGUCCGAUUUCCUGCGAUUGACCUACCAUUUCUUCAGCAUUUGCUGUUCACUUUGGUUGCUACUACGUGCUCAACAUCAAGUACCAUGUGCAAGCAGCCACUACUUUGGAGUUUAUUCAGAGAUUUAUUGUGAGGAUCAGCCCCGACAACAGCAAGUGCUCCUCUAACUUCCAGGUGAGCAAAAGAAGUGGGAAGAUGGUGCAAAGGAAGAACUCUGGCCUGAACCAUCAUGUAUAUAUCCACCUUUAUUAAGGACUUUAUGAAUUAAGCAAAACUAUUAAGCAACUAAAGCAAAUACAUUCUACUCAACUCACCAGAGGUUUGUGAAGUUCUUUUUUUUCUUAAAGGUUUCUUUUAGUUAAUUUGUUCAUGCACUGAUUUAUAAUAUUGUAAUAUGAAACUCCAGUGUAUACAUGUUACUACUGUUGCUUCAAAAAGCAAAAUAAGUCUAUGCAG